rnacentral:lncRNA from 1 species
UGAGAAAGACAGCACACUGAUUAAAACCCAGGGCAUAUUGGAGUCUCAUUAUCUUUGAGCUUGGGAUGGAUGGUGUCCACACCCCGAGUCCGUGUGUAAAGAAGGACUUCUGGAAGAAGAUGAGGGUAAACUGGAAAUCUGAGUGAAAUGAAUAAGCCAUCCUUGGAAGGCCUGAGAUUCUAGGAUCUAUCCUAAUAGCAGUUUGGAAAUACAGAAUAGUAAGUCAUUUGAAGAAAAAUAUUCUGACAAAGUCCAAUAGAGAGGAGAGCUGCUACCUGGGAAGGACUAAUCUCCAGCAUGCCAAAGCUUUGACUGGCUUACACUAUUGGAAGUUUCCUCAAAAUUUAGAAAAGCUAUCUUUCCAUCUAAAAGACAAGUACUGGAAUGGUCUUGAAGGAUCCUCCGCCCUGUACUGA